AGUGAACGCUGGCGGUAGGCCUAACACAUGCAAGUCGAACGGCAGCACAGUAAGAGCUUGCUCUUACGGGUGGCGAGUGGCGGACGGGUGAGGAAUACAUCGGAAUCUACUUUUUCGUGGGGGAUAACGUAGGGAAACUUACGCUAAUACCGCAUACGACCUACGGGUGAAAGCAGGGGAUCUUCGGACCUUGCGCGAUUGAAUGAGCCGAUGUCGGAUUAGCUAGUUGGCGGGGUAAAGGCCCACCAAGGCGACGAUCCGUAGCUGGUCUGAGAGGAUGAUCAGCCGCACAGGAACUGAGACACGGUCCAGACUCCUACGGGAGGCAGCAGUGGGGAAUAUUGGACAAUGGGCGCAAGCCUGAUCCAGCCAUACCGCGUGGGUGAAGAAGGCCUUCGGGUUGUAAAGCCCUUUUGUUGGGAAAGAAAAGCAGCAGGUUAAUACCCCGCUGUUCUGACGGUACCCAAAGAAUAAGCACCGGCUAACUUCGUG
rnacentral:rRNA from 1 species